GUCGUGAGUCCAGGCCGGCUGCCCGAUGGAGGCUUCCCGCCUGCGUCCCCGGCGCUCCCUGGAGCUGGGGGAGCCUCGGCGGUUUCCCUACUGGAGCCGAAGUCGCUCUGGAGGAGCCCCUCCUGGCCCCUCUCUUCCGGUUGUCAGGCCUAGCGUGGUGCGGGGCACCGCGUCCGGUCCCCUGAGCCCUCUUCCCCGGCUGCUUUUUAAGAACCCAGGGUCGGCUGCUUUUUAAGAACUUGUUUUUUCUUCAUUUAUAUGUAAGUGCCCCCACUUGCAAGCGGUGAACCGACUUACUGAUGUUCCCUUCUGGACCACAGCGUUUGUGAUCCCAUCUUCUUUUACCAGGUGAUUUAAACUACCUCUGUGUUUAAUGUGGAGUGCAGGGAAAUGAGAAAAAAAAAAAAAGGCGUUUUCCUGAGUCUGGCUAAGCAAACGUUGCAUGAAAGUGUCCCAGCAUAGAGGACAGGGGCUUCAACAACAUUCCAGAAGGUAAACUCCCUGGUGUGGUACGGAGGAUCUUUGAAAUAAAUAUGUGCAAAAUCACCCAGAACCCUAGUACACGAAACUGCAAAAGGAAUGCUUUGACACCAGCAGCUUCACGACUUAAGUUAACAGGGCAUGAACUACUCGAGGAGACGGCUAGGAGGCAGUAUGGAGUCGGCCAUACCUUAAUUGUCGUCUCAACUCAGUGAUUAAUUUUGUGACCUGGCUGCAAGUUAUUUAACCUCUCCAAGUCUCAGUAACUCUCUGUAAAAGGAGAUUAGUUGUAAUACCAACCUCUAGGACCAUAGUUAGAAUUAAGUGAGAUAAAGCAAAGUGCUUAACCACAAAGCUUGGCAUAUAAGACGUGCUCAUUAAAUUGUUGCUGUUGUUCAUAGGUCUCUCACUAGUUUAACUUCCCUGACAAAAAGAUUAGAGCCAAGAAUGAGUAGAUUAUACCUCAAACAUUUAA
rnacentral:lncRNA from 10 species